GUCAGCCUUCUUUGUUCUGUCCAUGAACUUGCAAAUAACCCCCGGGCCCCUUUUCACUGCUCUACUGGUAAACGUUUUUUUUUUUAAAGUGCUGUGACCACAGAGAAGAGGGCAAUCUUGCCACAGCACAAAGGUGCCGAUUUGAGCAAAACAUGAAAUGAAGUGCAGCAAGCAAACCCGACUACACUGCUUCCAGAACAAUUUGGAAAAAGCUAUUUUUGGUGCCUAGCAGGAAAAGAGGAGCGGCUACCUUCCAAGUGGGCUCAGAGAGGCCAGCCCUUCCCUCCCCCUUGUUUGCUGGAGCCUCUCAUGUGUCAGUCACUCCUAAACCCACACUGGGAAAGCAGCAGCAGCCUGACUUCCUGACUCUGCUGACACAAAUCAAUGGGCUGCAGAGCGUCUUAAUGGAUGGGACCUCUUAUGGUAUGACAGGGUUUUUCUUGAUUUAGGGCAUUCUAAACUAGAGGCAGCAUGGGAUGAUUCCUGAUCAAAGGCUCUACUUCGAUAUGAAUGGAAUUGGAUCAAUCCAGACAGGAGAGACAGAGUCCCUAAUGGGUUAAAGCAGAGAUCUUCAAACUUGGCAACUUUAAGACUUGUGGACUUCAACUCUCAGAAUUCUCUAGCCCGCUGGGUUAGAUACAUGGUGGAAGUACAGUGUAACACACCAGUAAAGCUGAAUCACUGAAGUUUCAUAAUAAAGAAAGUAGUGCUGAACAAUGUUGGAAAUGGUACUUUUAAAAUAAAAAGAGGACCUCUUCUGCUUCUUUUGAACAGGUCCCUUGAUGUGAUUUCUGAAGAAUGGGUUGAUAAAUCUCCAUCCUCCUGUUGAAAUAGGCAAUUGUUUUUCCCCAGUGCCCUUGACACUCCCUUUUUGCAGUCCUUUAAACAGCACUGCUAAUUUUCAAUUUUGAAAUGGGAAACAAACGGAGCAUAGGUUCAAAUAAAUUUUAGAAUGAUAAACAUAAAAAAAAAACCAAAUUCCCCAGAUUUUGGGAUGGUGAGAACAAAAAAUCCUGCCUUCAGCUAUUUAUCGGGCCUCUACCCAUUUUGCAUCGUUGUCCUACCAACUUCAGCCAUCCCCACCCCAGCGAAAUUUAAGCCAAGGAAAAACAAAAUCUAUUUGUGAUCUUCCAGACAUAUCAUCACUUCCAGUAUCAACAGUAAGAAAGAAAAUGCCUGGAGACCUAGGAGGAACUUAGAACAAAUAUUUCCAAAAGAAGAGAAAUGGUUUAAAUUAUUAAGUACCCUGCCCUAACAUGAAGGAGUGAUUGUAGUUUUCUUGGCAACAAUAAAGCAGUUUCCCUUCAACUUUC